rnacentral:rRNA from 1 species
UACAGGGGGUGGCAAACGUUGCUCGGAAUCACUGGGCGUAAGCGCACGUAGGCGGAUUGCUAAGUCAGGGGUGAAAUCCUGGGAGCUCAACUCCAGAACUGCCUUUGAUACUGGCGAUCUUGAGUCCGGGAGAGGUGAGUGGAACUGCGAGUGUAGAGGUGAAAUUCGUAGAUAUUGCAAGAACACCAGUGGCGAAGGCGGACUCGA